rnacentral:rRNA from 1 species
UAGGGAAUCUUCCGCAAUGGACGCAAGUCUGACGGAGCAACGCCGCGUGAGUGAAGAAGGAUUUCGGUUCGUAAAACUCUGUUGUUAGAGAAGAACAGCGCAUAGAGUAACUGUUAUGCGUGUGACGGUAUCUAACCAGAAAGCCACGGCUAACUACGUGCCAGCAGCCGCGGUAAUACGUAGGUGGCAAGCGUUGUCCGGAUUUAUUGGGCGUAAAGCGAGCGCAGGCGGUCAAUUAAGUCUGAUGUGAAAGCCCCCGGCUCAACCGGGGAGGGUCAUUGGAAACUGGUUGACUUGAGUGCAGAAGAGGAGAGUGGAAGUCCAUGUGUAGCGGUGAAAUGCGUAGAUAUAUGGAGGAACACCAGUGGCGAAGGCGACUCUAUGGUCUGUAACUGACGAUGAGGUUCGAAAGCGUGGGUAGCAAACAGG